CCGUUCUUCUUCUUCAUCCUCAAAUCGAAGCGUUGAAUCCUCACUCACUCUCAAGUUCUCAACUCUCAAGCUCUGAACUCUUAGCCUUCAAUAGCUCAAAGUUCUCCAUCUUCAAAUCUUCCUCUCCUUCAAGCCGUCACUGCUCAAAGGUAAUUUUAUGUUAAUUUUUUUGUUUUCAUUUCGGUUUUAUGUUGCUGAUUCGUUGUUUGCAGGAUUUGCAUGUCUUUAUUUUUUGAUUUUUACUUCUGAUUUGUUCGUAUAAUUUCAUAUAAUUUCUGAUUUGUUCAUAUAAUUUCUGAUUUUUUGAUGUUGUUCAUGUAAUUUUUAAUUUUAUUGUUCUUGUUGUUCAUUUAAUUUCUGAUUUUUUAAUUUUAUUGUUCUUGUUGUUCAUUUUUUGUUAUAUCUAUUUGUGAGGUGUUCUGGCCUUACCAGCUUUGGCUAUGCUCAGUUCUGAUCAGGGUUGUGGUUGUAGUACCAUGAGCAACAAUUGAGUUGAUUUGGUUACCUUAUUCAUGCUCGUGGUUUCUUUUCGUGUUAUUAAUUGUGCUUGGUUUUUUUCAGGCUGCUGUGUUGUUGCUGGUCUGCCUUUGUGACUGUUUGCUGUUUGUUGAGCAUUUAAAAUGUAUGGCUUUGUCUAUAAUGCUCUAUUAGUCUUCAAAUAUACUGAAUGCUAUCCUUUGUUCUAUCAGCUGCAUUGUUCUCUCAUUAGUGUUUCUGUUUAUGUGGGUUAAUGCUGAAUGCUAGCAGGAUUUUUUGAUUUAAGUUUGGGUUUUGUUUUGUUGAAAAAGUGCAAGUGCAUUCAGAUAGGAGUUGUCUAAUAGUGUUUAGUAUAUUUUAGGACUGAAUUGUAGAUGGACUACCUCAGCUUAGAGCAUGUAGUACUAGCUAGGGUCUGUCCUGUGCUGCUGCUGUUCUAAUGUCUGGCCAGAUCUGCUAGAUGUACAAGGCUAGAUUGUAGGAUCUGCUGGGUGUUUUCUGCCCUGUUCAGAGCAGAGUCUUUCUGGCCAUGGUUUGUGCUGUCCUAGUUGAUGUCUCUGCUGCAGGCUGGGUGCUGGGGUUGGUUGCUGCUGGUUUUCUAGGGUAUUGCAGCUAGGGGUGUACAAAAACUGGACCGGACCUGAAACCGGACCUGAACCGACCUGAUCCGGACCGGACCUGACCCGGACCUGUUGAUUCAGGUCCGGUCCCGGUCCUUAAAAAUCAAGGUUCCCGGUUCCGGUCCGGCCCGGUCUAAACCCGGGGUUUUCAGGUCCGGACCUGAAACCCGGAAAAAUUGUUUUUUUUUUUUAAAAAAAAAAAAAAAAAAAAAAUUAAAAUAAUGCUGCUGCUUGACAGCUUGAGGCCUUGAGUGACGCUUGAAUUCUCUUUCAUUUAAUUCUAACCCUAACAAACAGGCUGUCUCCCCCUCUCCCUCACGCAGACACGCAGUCACGCAAGUCUCAGCCGAGUCAGCCCAACGCGGCAACGCCCACCGCCGACACCUCCUGCCUUCCUCACUCUCUCAGGCGAAGCCCAGGCGCCCACCGACCACCGCAUGAGACAGCUACUGCGCGAUUUUCCAUUUCUCCG